GAAGACGAUACUCAAGAGCGAUCAUUUUCCUGGAUGCCAGAACAAGCGCUUGAUCCCGCAGAUCGAUGGUGCACCCAACUAUCGCAAGGUUUUGCACCCAUGUUUGACCAUCCAGACACCAGAAACCAACAUUCGAAGUCAUACACAAACUCCAUUCCUGAAAUUCAUCACUUGUGAGCUUGUUAAGACUGUUAAUGUCAAGAACUUGCCUUGUUUCCCCAACCUAGAGGACGGUUGAUUUGUCAGACAUUACCUCUGUAGUAGUUCAGGAUACCGAUGCCCGAAUUGAUUGGUGGGGGAGGGAUCAUAACUGCAUAAUUUCUGAUGUAUUAUAACCAUUGUUUUGAGAAUGAAUCAAAUGCAAAAUGAGACCAACUCUUCCUUUACAAGAAGACGAGAAAAAAA